CGCCGCAGAUGUAGCACUUAC
rnacentral:miRNA from 1 species